GUGGGUUUAUUAAGAAUGUUACACCUCAAAUUUGAAUUUUAGUAAUGUUUGGUUUUGGUGGUUACACGUUGGGUUUUGAGUAAGUUUGGAUGUCUGGGUGUGACAUAAAAUGAUGGAGCACUUCCUGAGAAGGAAUGACCAUGUGUUGUAACUCAAGAAAAGUCAUGUUGUUUUAUGAACAUCCAUGAGAAAGUGAUAGUACAAAUUUGACAAGAACUUUUAUUUCUUUAUGGACAACUUA
rnacentral:lncRNA from 1 species